rnacentral:rRNA from 1 species
UACGGAGGGUGCAAGCGUUAUCCGGAUUCACUGGGUUUAAAGGGUGCGUAGGAGGGCAGGUAAGUCCGUGGUGAAAUCUCUGAGCUUAACUCAGAAACUGCCGUGGAUACUAUUUGCCUUGAAUAUUGUGGAGGUGAGCGGAAUAUGUCAUGUAGCGGUGAAAUGCUUAGAUAUGACAUAGAACACCAAUUGCGAAGGCAGCUCACUACACAAUCAUUGACGCUGAGGCACGAAAGCGUGGGGAUCAAACAGG